CCUACGGGAGGCAGCAGUGGGGAAUUUUGGACAAUGGGCGAAAGCCUGAUCCAGCCAUGCCGCGUGAGUGAAGAAGGCCUUCGGGUUGUAAAGCUCUUUCGGCGGAAAAGAAAACGCACAGGCUAAUACCUUGGGUGGAUGACGGUAUCAGCAUAAGAAGCACCGGCUAACUACGUGCCAGC
rnacentral:rRNA from 1 species